GACGAACGCUGGCGGCGUGCCUAAUACAUGCAAGUAGGACGCAGUUGCGAACGGGUGAGUAACGCGUAGGUAACUACCUAUUAGAGGUGGGUAACUAUUGGAAACGCUAGCUAAUACCGCAUACUAGUAGAUUGACCUUCGUUUUAUUAGCUAGUAGGUAUGGUAAAGGCCUACCUAGGCAACGAUCCAUAGCCGACCUGAGAGUGUGAUCGGCCACUCUGGGACUGAGACACGGCCCAGACUCCGACGGUAGGCAGCAGUAGGGAAGCUUCGGCAAUGGGGGGAACCCUGACCGAGCAACGCCGCGUGAGUGAAGAAGGUUUUCGGAUCGUAAAGCUCUGUUGUUAAGGAAGCGGUACUUAACCAGAAAGGGACGGCUAACUACGUGCCAGCCGCCGCGGUAAUAC
rnacentral:rRNA from 1 species